rnacentral:rRNA from 1 species
AUGAACGCUGGCGGCAUGCCUUACCCCUGCAAGUCGCACGGCAGCAUGACCUAGCUUGCUAGGUUGAUGGCGAGUGGCGAACGGGUGAGUAAUGCAUCGGAACGUGCCUUUUAGUGGGGGAUAACGUAGCGAAAGUUACGCUAAUACCGCAUAUUCUCUGAGGAGGAAAGCAGGGGACCUUCGGGCCUUGCGCUAGAAGAGCGGCCGAUGUCGGAUUAGCUAGUUGGUGAGGUAAAGGCUCACCAAGGCAACGAUCCGUAGCGGGUCUGAGAGGAUGAUCCGCCACACUGGGACUGAGACACGGCCCAGACUCCUACGGGAGGCAGCAGUGGGGAAUUUUGGACAAUGGGCGCAAGCCUGAUCCAGCCAUGCCGCGUGAGUGAAGAAGGCCUUCGGGUUGUAAAGCUCUUUCGGCUGGGAAGAAAUCGCACCCUCUAAUACAGGGUGUGGAUGACGGUACCAGCAUAAGAAGCACCGGCUAACUACGUG